rnacentral:rRNA from 1 species
CGGGAUGGCAGACCAGGGCGUUCACCCGCUCAAUUUAAGCAUAUUAGUCAGCGGAGGAAAAGAAAUCAAUCGAGAUUCCCGUAGUAGCUGCGAGCGAACAGGGAAAAGCCCGAGACCGAAUCCCUUCCCCCCUAGCGGGGGUCGCGGACCUGUAGUCUAAGGGUUGGGACCGCGAGUCAAAGACUUACAGCACACAGGCUAAGAUCCUGGAGCACAGGGCGUUACACGCGACCUGGUAGGGCGGCGACGAGAGGGACUGACCCGCGAGUAGGCCAGCUUGAAAGUGCUGGCUGAAGAUAGGUGGUGCUGGCCAUCUAAGGCUAAAUAUGAAAGCAGGCAACCGAUAGCAAACAAGUACCGUAAGGGAAAGCUGAAAAGCACCUCGUUGAGGAGUUAAAAGAGCAUGAAAUCCGCCCAAUGAGAACGGUAAAUCUAUACGGCUCGUCGAAAGGCGCUGGGCGGGGUUCGUCCCCUGCCAUACGGCGCUGAGUACGGCACAGCUGCGGCUGAGGCGACGCUGGGAAAGGUGACCUAACGGCCAAUCUCGCUUACGGGCGAGGACGGUCAAGGACACCGGAACCGCGGGACCUCUCCGUCUAGGCUUACACUCACGCGUGAAUGGGUUCGCCCCAUAACCGUGAGACGUACAGCGUGUCAGAGCUUAGUUUACCACCCGUCUUGAAACACGGACCAAGGAGUCUAACGUACAUGCAAGUCGAACAGCUUUCACGCUGAGACGGCGAAGCUAAUGCAAAAAGCACCCAGGGCGAGCCUAUGGCGGACCCCGCAAUGCUCUCCUAACCGGGCUCUCGGGCUUGGAUUGGAGUUUGAGCAUGUCAUGUUAGGUCCCGAAAAACGACGAGCUAUGCUUGAGUAGGCCGAAGCCAGGAGAAAUCUUGGUGGAAGGUCGUACGCAGUACUGACGUGCAAAUCGUUUGUCAAACUUGAGUAUAGGGGCGAAAGACCAAUCGAGUCGUUUAGUAGCUGGUUUCCACCGAAGUUUCCCUCAGGAUAGCAAAGGAAAAAGUGUCGAGUAUGGGGCGGUAAAGACAAUGAUUAGGAGCACCGGGCGGUUUGACCGUUCGGCUCAUUCUCAAACUUUUAAUGCUCUAAAGCCAUUGACCACGCGUCGUAGCAGCGCUGGUCUGGGCAGUAUCGGGUCUCCUUUAGUGGGCCACGUUGGUAAGCAAGGAUGGCAAAAAGGGUUCAAACUUGUGCCCGGUUAGGUUCUCGAAGACAUUGGCAAUGACCACUCAAAAGGUAUUGCCUCAUGAUGACAGCUGGACAGUGGCCAUGGAAGCCGGCAUCUGCUAAGGAGUGCGUAACAGCUCACCAGCCGAAUGGGGUAGUCCUGAAAAUGGACGAGGUUCAACCAGUGCAACCAUACCGGCCAAGGCUCUUAUAAGGCGGCGUAAGCGGGCUUCGGCUCGCAAGCUAUUCCAUGAGUAAACGAGUAGGGCGGAUACCCCAGGUCGGGUUGAAGCGUGCUGUUGACAGCACGUGGACCGGCCGGGGCAGCAGAUCUUGGUAGUAGUAGCAAGUAUUCAUAUGCAACACUCUGAAGGCCGAAGUGGAGGAGGGUUCCUCAACAACAGCAGUUGAUUGGGGGUUAGUCGGAAUCUAAGCGUCAAGGGAAACCUAGGUUAACCUCGGGCUCUCGUCCGCGGUCCUGACGGGGUAACACCCGUCUCGUACCGUGGCUUGGGCUCGGACGCGACAGAGAAGCGGGUUAAUAUUCCUGCACUCAACUCGAUGUGACAGUGGGCGACCUUAAAGCGAUAUCCGAAACCAGUGACGUAACUGGGAACCGUGAGAGGGAUUUUCCCUCCUUGUUACGGGAGUUAACUGCUCUGGUAAGCUUGCAUUGUGCAGAUGCCCAGGCAACCUACUCCUCGAGAGCAUGUCGUUCUUCGAUGUGUUCGCGGUCUCCUUCCGUUGCCCUAGAAAAGCUGGCAGAUGGGUGAAACGUGUUGUCCUUCGGUUGAACCGUACCUAAUCCGCAGCAGGUCUCCAAGAUGAGCAGUCUCUGGCGCAUAGAACAAAGUAGCGUAAGGGAAUUCGGCAAGCCGGAUUCGUAACUUCGGGAUAAGGAUUGGCUCUAUAGGCUGGGUGUCGCUGGGCUGGGUAAGGCUCGCGGGAUGUGCUUUAGUAAUGGCCGAGGCGCUUUCGGGUGCCGAGAGCGUGAACGGGCCGCUCGGGGCUGAAAACUAGAUCAUUGCGGAGGUUCGCCCGAGUGGUGAAAACCGGCACACCGCUAACAGCUAACGUAGAACUUACAAAGGCUAGGGGAAUCCAACUGUAUAAUUAAAACAUAGCGAUUUGUUGGUGCCAAAGCGUGUAAACGAAUCGUGAUUUCUGCCCAGUGCUCUGGAUGUUAAAAUGGCGAAAUCCAACCAAGCUCGGGUAAACGGCGGGAGUAACUAUGACUCUCUUAAGGUAGCCAAAUGCCUCGUCAUUUAAUUUGUGACGCGCAUGAAUGGAUUAAUGAGAUUCCCACUGUCCCUACCUACUAUCUAGCGAAACCACAGCCAAGGGAACGGGCUUGGCACAAUUAGCGGGGAAAGAAGACCCUGUUGAGCUUGACUCUAGGCAUAGACGCGAGGUGAUUCUAAAGGUGUAGCAUAGGUGGGAGGGCCCAUGCCCGUCAAUGAAAUACCACCACUUUCGACAUCGCUUUGCUAAUGCUGUAACGAACGAACGGAACCGCGUCCCUCUCACCGUAAAAGGUGGGGGAAGGGAUAGGCAAUCCAAAUUCUAGCGCUUUCCGCGCUCAUACGACGAGUUGGCUCCCCUGGGUGAGUACCGUGGAACCACGAGCUGGGCUUCCGAGUCCGGCGAGUGCUGUUUCCGCGGGAACCAGAGACGGUCUUCUCGGCCUCUGUGGGCUUCAUGCCGGUACGUAAUUGCGUGUAGCAGACUAUCUAUGUUGGGGAGUUUGGCUGGGGCGGAAAACUGCUACACGGCAACGGCAGUCUCCUAAGGUCCACUCAGAGACGACAGAAACGUCUCGUAGAGAUAAAGGCAAAAGUGGGCUUAACUCGCAUUUUCAGUAGUAAUGUGAAGCAAGAAAUUGCGGCUUAACGAUCCUUAGCGGCGGGUGCCAGCCCACGCUUGAGGUGAGAGAAAAGUUACCACAGGGAUAACUGGCUUGUGGCCGCCAAGCGUUCAUAGCGACGUGGCUUUUUGAUCCUUCGAUGUCGGCUCUUCCUAUCAUACUAAAGCGAAUUCAGUAAGUGUUGGAUUGUUCACCCUCUUAAGGGAACGUGAGCUGGGUUUAGACGUCGUGAGACAGGUUAGUUUUACCCUCCUACUUGACAACUAGGAGGCGUUUCGGCGCCGCGGUGUGCCCUGAUAGUAGAUCACUUCAGUACGAGAGGAACCAGUGAUUCAGACCAAUGGUGUAAGCGCUGCUCGAACGGGCAGAGCGCUAGAGCUACGUCUGUUGGAUGAAGGCUGGAAGCAUCUAAGCCCGAAGCCAUGCUAGAUAGGGGACGUCGCAAUCAAAGAUACGCUUGCUUUUAAGUCUGGCAACGCGGUCUUUUACCAUCAACAGCCAGUCAACUGAGCAGGACGCGAUGCAAAGAGGUCGAAAUUAGCCCGUAAAAAGGUCAGUUCCUCGUUAAGCCGCCCCCACGGGGGCAUCAACGGCGCUCCGCCUGCAUCAGGCUCGGUAUUCCGUAAACCACACAGCAUACGACUGUGCGUAGCGGAAAUGGUGUUAGUGAUCAAGCUGGCUGGCCGUCUAGCAUUGCGAGACGCUGAGCCAGUGUUUGCGUUUUUUUGUCGGC